rnacentral:rRNA from 1 species
AACCGGAUUAGAUACCCGGGUAGUCCCAGCUGUAAACUAUGCAAACCCGGUGAUGCAUUGGCUUGAUGCCAAUGCAGUGCCGCAGGGAAGCCGUUAAGUUUGCCGCCUGGGAAGUACGUACGCAAGUAUGAAACUUAAAGGAAUUGGCGGGGGAGCACCACAAGGGGUGAAGCCUGCGGUUCAAUUGGAGUCAACGCCAGAGAUCUUACCCGGAGAGACAGCAGAAUGAAGGUCAAGCUGAAGACUUUACCAGACAAGCUGAGAGGUGGUGCAUGGCCGUCGCCAGCUCGUGCCGUGAGAUGUCCUGUUAAGUCAGGUAACGAGCGAGAUCCCUGCCUCUAGUUGCCACCAUUACUCUCAGGAGUAGUGGGGCGAAUUAGCGGGACCGCCGUAGUUAAUACGGAGGAAGGAAGGGGCCACGGCAGGUCAGUAUGCCCCGAAACUCUGGGGCCACACGCGGGCUGCAAUGGUAACGACAAUGUGUUCCGAAUCCGAAAGGAGGAGGUAAUCCAGAAACGUUACCACAGUUGUGACUGAGGGCUGCAACUCGCCCUCACGAAUAUGGAAUCCCUAGUAACUGCGUGUCAUUAUCGCGCGGUGAAUACGUCCCUGCUCCUUGCACACACCGCCCGUCGUUUCAUUGAAGUUUGCUUUUAGCGAGGUGACGUCUGAUUGGCGUUAUCGAACUUGA